GCCUUUCACUAUUCUGUAAGUUUCAAUUAGAUCCCCCCCGAACCUUUUAAACUCCAGCGAGUACAGGCCCAGUACCGACAAACGCUCAUCGUACGUUAACCCACUCAUUCCUGAGAUCGUUCUUGUAAACCCUCUCCAGAGCCAGCACAUCCCUCUUCUGAUAUGGGGUCCAAAAUAGCUCGCAGUACUCCAAAUGCGGCCUGACCAGCACCUUGGAGAGCCUCAGCAUUACUUCCCUGUUUUUAUAUUCCAGUCCUUAUGAUAUAAAUGCUGGCGUUGAAUUUUGCUGUCAGCAAACUCAAUCACCAACCCGUCCACAUUUACAUCAACGUCAUUUAUAUCUUCUAUUACUAAAACUCUCAUCUUGACCACUGCGUUAUAAUUACAUUUGCGCAAAAACGAUUCCUCAUAGCGCUACGAUUUUUCGCCACCUUACUCACUAUUCUCCUCUGCUGCAAGUCAGAUAUGUUUUGUUCCGAUUGGUGAAAUAGUACAAAAGUUAUGAAGGUUUGAAACUCGUAGAAACUGCCCCUUCCGGAACCCGCUGUCAAUAACGCGGCGAGGAGAAUAAAAGGCUGAAGGGGCGCAGUGUUGAGCAAUCCGCAGGUAGCGUGCAGCCGGCGGAGAGCGUGCAGAGAGUGAGCAGCCCACCGACUGCUUCUCCGGCGACCAGCACCACCGGAAUCUGCUGAGUUGAACCGGAAGCCUCUGAGUGAAGCCCGAGUGGGACCGGGAUCUGCUGUGAUACGAUGACGGCUACGGAGAUGGUGACGGAUAUGGAACAAGCAAAGGUACACACAUGAUUCAGAGUUGAUCGUCACCCCACUCUCAUUCCUCCCUCCUCCCCCUCCCCCAUCAUCAAGAUGAGGUCCAAGACUGCUCCUUCACCCACUGGACCAUCCACACAGUUAUACAAGUUGUUGGCGAGACCGCAUUUAGAGUAUUGUGUUCAGUUCUGGGCACCGUGUUAUAGGAAAGAUGUAGUCAGGCUGGAAAGGGUACAGAGAAGAUUUACGAGGAUGUUGCCAGGACUAGAGGGUGUGAGCUGCAGGGAGAGGUUGGCUAGACUGGGACUCUAUUCCUUGGAGCGCAGGUUGGCGAGACUGCAUUUAGAGUAUUGUGUUCAGUUCUGGGCACCGUGUUAUGGGAUAAUCCAUGGACAUGGAUAGAGAAUUGGUUGGCAGAAUGGCAGGCAGUGGAGAGUGGAGUGCCACAAGGCUGGGUGCUGCGGCCGCAAUUAGUUACAAUAUAUAUCAAUGAUUUAGAUGAUGGGAUUAAAAGUAACACAAGCAAGUUUGCAGAUGACACAAAGCCGAGUGGUAGUGUGAACUGCGAAGAGGAUGCAAGGAGGUUGCAGGGUGGCUUGGACAGGUUGAGCGAGUGGUUAUCUAAUUUGGCGGGAGGCAGAUCAUUAUCUCAAUGGUGUCAGAUUAGGAAAAGGGGAAGUGCUACGGGACCUGAGUGUCCUUGUACACCAGUCACUGAAAGCAAACAUGCAGGUACAUCAGGAAGUGAAGAAAGCUAAUGGCAUGUUAGCCUUCAUAACGAGAGGAUUUGAGUAUAGGAGGAAAUAGGUCCUUCUGCAGUUGUGCAGGGCCCUGGUGAGACUACACCAGGAGUAUUGUGUGCAGUUUUAGUCUCCUAAUUUGAGGAAGGACAUCCUUGCUAUUGAGGCAGUGCAUCUUAGACUCAGUUUAAUCCCCGGGAUGGCGGGACUGCCAUAUGAGGAAAGAUUGGAAAGAUGGUCUUGUAUUCACUGGAUCUUAGAAAGAUGAGAGUGGAGACUAGACAAGCUAGAUGGACAAGCAGGAAAAAUGUUCCCAAUGUUGGGGGAGUCCAGAACCAGGGGCCACAGUCUAAGAAUAAAGGGGAGGCCAUAUAAAACUGAGAAGGGAAAAACGUUUUCACCAGCUCCAUUCUUUCAACAUAUGACAGUCCCGCCAUCCCAUGGAAUUAACCUCGUGUACCUACGAUGCACUCCCUCAAUAGCAAGAAUGUCCUUCCUCAACUUUGGGGAUCAAAACUGCACACAAUACUCCAGGUGUGGUCUGACGUUUACUCCUAUACUCAACUCCUCUGUUAUGAAGGCCAACAUGCCAUCAUUUUUCUUCACUGCCUGCUGUAUCUGCAUGCCUACUUUCAGUGACUGAUGAACAAGGACACCCAGAUCUCUUUGUACUUCCCCUUUUCACAAGAUAUAUUAAUGAUUUAGAUGAAGGGAUUAAAAGUAACAUUAGCAAAUUUGCAGAUGACGCAAUGCUGGGUGGCAGUGUGAACUGUGAGCAAGAUGCUAUGAGAAUGCGGGGUGACUUGGACAGGUUGGGUGAGUGGGCAGAUGCAUGGCAGAUGCAGUUUAAAUGUGAGGUUAUUCACUUUGGGAGCAAAAAUUGGAAGGAAGAUUAUUAUCUAAAUGGUGUCAAGUUGGGAAAAGGGGAAGUACAACGGGAUAUGGGGGUCCAUGUUCAUCAGUCAAUGAAAGUAAGCAUGCAGGUACAGCAGGCAGUGAAGAAAGCAAAUGGCGUAUUGGCGUUUAUAACAAGAGGAGUUAAGUAUAGGAGCAAAGAGGUCCUUCUGCAGUUGUUCCGGGCCCUAGUGAGACCACACCUGGAGUAUUGUGUGCAGUUUUAGUCUCCAAAUUUAAGGAACUCUCCUAAUCCGAAUUUUUCCUAAUCUGACACCAUUGAGAUAAUGAUCUGCCUCCCGCCAAUUCUUGCUAUUGAGAGAGGGCAGUGUAGGUUCACAAGGUUAAUUCCCGGGAUGGUGGGACUGUCAUAUACUGAGAAAAUGGAGCGGCUGGGCUUGUAUACUCUGGAAUAUAGAAGGAUGAGAGAGGGUCUAAUUGAAACAUAUAAGAUUAUUAAGGGCUUGGACACACUAGAGGCAGGAAACAUGUUCUUCACGUGGGGGGAGUUCUAAACCAGGCGCCACAGUUUAAGAAUAAUUGGUAAACCGUAUAGAACGGAGAUGAGGAAAACAUUUUCACACAGAGAUUUGUGAGUUUGUAGAAUUCUUCGCCUCAGUGGAGGAAGGUUCUCUGGUACCUUUCAGGAGAGAGCUAGAUGGAGCUCUUGAAGUUAGCGGAGUCAGGGGAUAUGGGGAGAAGGCAGGAACGGGGUACUGAUUGUGGAUGAUCAGCCACGAUCACAUUGUAUGGCGGUGCUGGCUUGAAGGGCCGUAUGGUCUACUCCUGCACCUGCUGUCUAUUGUCCUAACUUGAUACCAUUCAGAUAAUAAUCUACCUUCCUGUUCUUUCCGCCAAAGUUGAUAACCUCACAUUUAUCUACAUUAAACUGCAUCUGCCAUGCAUCUGCCCACCCAAUGAUCCCAGGAAUGAAUGUAUGAUUAGUGUUUGACGGCACUGGGCUUGUACUCGCUGGAGUUUAGAAGGAUGAGGGGAGAUCUCAAUGAAACUAUCUAAUGUCCGUCUCUCAACAUCUCAUUUCCAUCUUGUAGGAUACGGGGACAGCUACGGAGAUGGUAAGAUUUUUAACGACGUUCUCACACCAUUGCAGACAGUUGUGUAACUAGCAAGCUCACUGUUGUGUGGGGAAUUAUGAAGGUGCCAGGGGAGAGCUGGGUGCGGGUGAGUGUGAAAUUCACCAGCAAUGAGUGGGUUAACGUAUGAUGAGCGUUUGUCCGCACUGGGCUUGUACUCGCUGGGGUUUAGAAGUUUGAGGGGGGACUUUAUUGAAACCUACAGAAUUAUGAAAGAUUUGGAUAGAGUGGAUGUGGAGAGGAUGUUUCCACUGGUGGGAGAGUCUAGGACCAGAGGUCACAGCCUCAGAUUUAAAGGGCGCUUUUUAGAAAGGCGACGAAGAGGAAUUUCUCUAGCCAGAGGGUGGUGAAUCUGUGGUACUCAUUGCCUCAGAGGGCUGUGGAGGCAAUGAGUCUGUGGAUAUUUUUAAGGCAGUGAUAGACAAAUUCUUGAUCAGAACUGGUGUCAACGGUGAUGGGGCGAAGGCAGGAGAAUGGGAUUAGGGAAGGGAGAUAGAUCAGCCAUCAGCCAGCACUCCAUUUAUUCCACGUAUGACCAGGAGUUCUGGAAAAUACAAAGGUACGCACAUGAUUCAGUGUGGUUAUCUUUGCAUUCACCACGGCCACACAAUCCCAGGGACAAUCCCUACACUCACCUCCUACCCACCACACUCAUAGACUCACAGUCACACAGCGCGGAAACAGGCCCUUCAGUCCGCCUUGUCCACCGACUAACAUGCCCCAUCUACAAUCGUCCCACCUGCCCGCAUUUGUCCCAUAUCCCUCCAAACCUGUCCUAUCCAUGUACCUGUCUAAGUGUCUCUUAAACGUUGCGAUAGUCUCUGCCUCAACUACCUCCUCCGGCAGUUCAUUCCAUACACCCAAAGUUCCUAUUAAUCCCUUUUCCCUUCACCUUAAACCCCCUGUCCUCUGGUCCUCGAUUCCCCCACUCUGAGCAAGAGACUCUGUGUAUCUACCCAAUCUAUUCCUCUCAUGAAAUUGUACACCUCUAUAAGAACACCCCUCCUCGUCCUGCGCUCCAAGGAAUAAAGUCCGGGCCUGCGCCAACCUCAAGUUCAAGUUCAAGUGAGUUUAGUGUCCCUGAUGGGACAAUUAAAUUCUUGCUUUGCUUCAGCACACAGAACAUAGUAAGCAUUUACUACAAAACAGAUCAGUGUGUCCAUAUACUAUAAUAUAAUAUAUACACACAUGAAUAAAUAAAAUGAUAAAGUGCAAAUACCAGAUAAUUGGUUAUUAAUAAUUAACAUUUUGUCCGAGCCAGGCUUAAUAGCCUGAUGGCUGUGGGGAAGUAGCUAUUCCUGAACCUGGUUGUUGCAGUCUCCAGGUUCCUGUCCCUUCUACCUGAUGAAGGCCAGGAUGUUGUGGGUCUUUGAUGAUACUGCCAGCCUUUUUGAGGCAGCGACAUUGAUAAAUCCCCUCGAUGGAAGGAAGGACAGAGCCGAUGAUGGACUGGGCAGUGUUUACUACUUUUUUGUAGUCUUUUCCUUUCCAGGGUGCUCGUUGCCGAACCAAGCCACGAUGCAACCGGUCAGCAUGCUCUCUACUGUACACAUGUAGAAGUUAGAGAGAGUCCUCUUCCUGUAGCUCUGGCCCCUCGAGUCCCGGUAACAUCCUCGUAAAUCUUCCCUGCACCCUUUCCAGCUUGACGACAUCUUUCAUAGAAACAUAGAUACAUAGAAAAUAGGUGCAGGAGGCCCUUCAAGCAUGCACCGCCAUUCAAUAUGAUCAUGGCUGACCAUCCAGCUCAGUGUCCUGUACCUGCCUCCUCGCCAUACCCCCUGAUCCCUUUAGCCACAAGGACCCCUUCUAACUCCCUCUUAAAUACAGCCAAUGAACUGGCCCCAACUACAUUCUGUGGCAAGGAAUUCCGGAGAUUCACCAAUCUCUGUGUAAAACAUGUUUUUCUCAUCUCAGCCCUAAAAGGUUUCCCCUUGAUCCUUAAACUGUGACCUCUUGUUCUGGACUUCCCCAACAUCGGGAACAAUCUUCCUGCAUC